GAUCCUGGCUCAGGAUGAACGCUAGCUACAGGCUUAACACAUGCAAGUCGUGGGGCAGCAUGGGAGAUGCUUGCAUUUCCCGAUGGCGACCGGCGCACGGGUGAGUAACGCGUAUCCAACCUGCCCUUCACUCCGGCACAGCCCCGUCGAAAGAACGGAUUAAUGCGGGAGUGCAGUCAGAAAGAAUGCAUAUUAAUUUGACGAAAGGACCUCGGCCGGUGAGGGAGUGGGAGUG
rnacentral:rRNA from 1 species